UACGUAGGGGGCUAGCGUUGUCCGGAAUCAUUGGGCGUAAAGCGCGCGUAGGCGGCCAGAUAAGUCCGGUGUGAAAGCCACAGGCUCAACCUGUGAAUGCCGCUGGAAACUGUCUGGCUAGAGUCCGGGAGGGGCGAGUGGAAUUCCUGGUGUAGCGGUGAAAUGCGCAGAUAUCAGGAAGAACACCAAUGGCGAAGGCAGCUCUCUGGGACGGUACUGACACUGAGACGCGAAGGCCAGGGGAGCAAACGGG
rnacentral:rRNA from 1 species